rnacentral:rRNA from 1 species
UACGGGGGGAGCAAGCGUUGUUCGGAUUUACUGGGCGUAAAGAGCGCGCAGGCGGUCGUUCAAGUCGCGUGUGAAAGCCCCCGGCUCAACUGGGGAGGGUCACGCGAUACUGAUCGACUCGAAGGCAGGAGAGGGUAGUGGAAUUCCCGGUGUAGUGGUGAAAUGCGUAGAUAUCGGGAGGAACACCAGUGGCGAAGGCGACUACCUGGCCUGUUCUUGACGCUGAGGCGCGAAAGCUAGGGGAGCAAACGGG